UGCCAGACUCCUACGGGAGGCAGCAGUGAGGAAUAUUGGUCAAUGGGCGCGAGCCUGAACCAGCCAAGUCGCGUGAGGGAUGACGGCCCUACGGGUUGUAAACCUCUUUUGCCGGGGAGCAACGGGCGCCACGUGUGGCGCCACUGAGAGUACCCGGAGAAAAAGCAUCGGCUAACUCCGUGCCAGCAGCCGCGGUAAUACGGAGGAUGCGAGCGUUAUCCGGAUUUAUUGGGUUUAAAGGGUGCGCAGGCGGGCUGUUAAGCCGGCGGUAAAAAUUCAGGGCUCAACCCUGUCGAGCCGUCGGAACUGGCAGUCUUGAGUGGGCGAGAAGUAUGCGGAAUGCGUGGUGUAGCGGUGAAAUGCAUAGAUAUCACGCAGAACGCCGAUUGCGAAGGCAGCAUACCGGCGCCCAACUGACGCUGAGGCACGAAAGCGUGGGGAUCGAACAGGAUUAGAUACCCCAGUACA
rnacentral:rRNA from 1 species